rnacentral:rRNA from 1 species
ACCUCUGCAAUAGGCGAAAGCCUGACAGGGUUACUCUGAGUGAUGCCCGCUAAGGGAAUCUUUUGGCACCUCUAAAAAUGGUGCAGAAUAAGGGGUGGGCAAGUCUGGUGUCAGCCGCCGCGGUAAUACCAGCACCCCGAGUUGUCGGGACGAUUAUUGGGCCUAAAGCAUCCGUAGCCUGUUCUGCAAGUCCUCCGUUAAAUCCACCUGCUCAACGGAUGGGCUGCGGAGGAUACCGCAGAGCUAGGAGGCGGGAGAGGCAAACGGUACUCAGUGGGUAGGGGUAAAAUCCAUUGAUCUACUGAAGACCACCAGUGGCGAAGGCGGUUUGCCAGAACGCGCUCGACGGUGAGGGAUGAAAGCUGGGGGAGCAAACCGGAUUAGAUACCCGGGUAGUCCCAGCUGUAAACGAUGCAGACUCGGUGAUGGGUUGGCCUCGAGCCAACCCAGUGCCGCAGGGAAGCCGUUAAGUCUGCCGCCUGGGGAGUACGGUCGCAAGACUGAAACUUAA